GAUAAACGCUGGCGGCGCACAUAAGACAUGCAAGUUGAACGGACUUAAUCGAAAUAUUUAUAUUUUGAAGCGGUUAGUGGCGGACUGGUGAGUAACGCGUAAGGAACCUGCCUAUUAGAGGGGAAUAACAGUGAGAAAUCAUUGCUAAUACCGCAUAUGCCAUAGAUAUCACAUGAUAACAGUGGGAAAGGAGCAAUCCGCUAAUAGAUGGCCUUGCGUCUGAUUAGAUAGUUGGUGGGGUAACGGCCUACCAAGUCGACGAUCAGUAGCCGGACUGAGAGGUUGAACGGCCACAUUGGGACUGAGAUACGGCCCAGACUCCUACGGGAGGCAGCAGUCGGGAAUAUUGCGCAAUGGAGGAAACUCUGACGCAGUGACGCCGCGUAUAGGAAGAAGGUUUUCGGAUUGUAAACUACUGUCGUUAGGGAAGAGGAAGGACAGUACCUAAGGAGGAAGCUCCGGCUAACUACGUG
rnacentral:rRNA from 1 species